AGAGUUUGAUCCUGGCUCAGGACGAACGCUGGCGGCGUGCUUAACACAUGCAAGUCGAACGGUGAUAUCAGGGCUUGCUCUGGUUGAUCAGUGGCGAACGGGUGAGUAACACGUGAGUAACCUGCCCCUGACUCUGGGAUAACUGCUGGAAACGGUGGCUAAUACCGGAUAUGAGACCUGAUCGCAUGGUGGGGUCUGGAAAGAUUUUUUGGUCAGGGAUGGACUCGCGGCCUAUCAGCUUGUUGGUGGGGUGAUGGCCUACCAAGGCGACGACGGGUAGCCGGCCUGAGAGGGCGACCGGCCACACUGGGACUGAGACACGGCCCAGACUCCUACGGGAGGCAGCAGUAGGGAAUCUUCCGCAAUGGGGGCAACCCUGACGGAGCGAUGCCGCGUGAGUGAGGAAGGUUUUCGGAUCGUAAAACUCUGUUGUGAGGGAAGAGGUCUCCAAAGUCAAACAGGCUUUGGAGGUGACGGUACCUCACGAGGAAGCCCCGGCUAACUACGUGCCAGCAGCCGCGGUAAUACGUAGGGGGCAAGCGUUGUCCGGAAUUAUUGGGCGUAAAGGGCACGCAGGCGGUUUGUUAAGUCUGAUGUGAAAGCCCACGGCUCAACCGUGGAGGGUCAUUGGAAACUGGCAGACUUGAGUGCAGAAGAGGAGAGCGGAAUUCCACGUGUAGCGGUGAAAUGCGUAGAUAUGUGGAGGAACACCAGUGGCGAAGGCGGCUCUCUGGUCUGUCACUGACGCUGAGGUGCGAAAGCGUGGGGAGCAAAUAGGAUUAGAUACCCUGGUAGUCCACGCCGUAAACGAUGAGUGCUAGGUGUCAGGGGUUUCGAUACCCUUGGUGCUGAAGUCAACACAUUAAGCACUCCGCCUGGGGAGUACGACCGCAAGGUUGAAACUCAAAGGAAUCGACAGGGGGCCCGCACAAGCAGUGGAGCAUGUGGUUUAAUUCGAAGCAACGCGAAGGACCUUACCAGGACUUGACAUCCUUCUGACCGGUGUAGAGAUACACCUUCUCUUCGGAGCAGAAGUGACAGGUGGUGCAUGGUUGUCAUCAGCUCGUGUCGUGAGAUGUUGGGUUAAGUCCCGCAACGAGCGCAACCCUUGUCCUUAGUUGCCAGCAUUCAGUUGGGCACUCUAAGGAGACUGCCGGUGACAAACCGGAGGAAGGUGGGGAUGACGUCAAAUCAUCAUGCCCCUUAUGACCUGGGCUACACACGUGCUACAAUGGAUAGAACAAAGGGCAGCGAAGCCGCGAGGUCAAGCAAAUCCCAUAAAUCUAUUCUCAGUUCGGAUUGCAGGCUGCAACUCGCCUGCAUGAAGCCGGAAUCGCUAGUAAUCGCGGAUCAGCAUGCCGCGGUGAAUACGUUCCCGGGCCUUGUACACACCGCCCGUCACACCACGAGAGUUUGUAACACCCGAAGUCGGUGGAGUAACCUUUUAGGGGCCAGCCGCCUAAGGUGGGACAGAUGAUUGGGGUGAAGUCGUAACAAGGUAACCGUA
rnacentral:rRNA from 1 species